GUGGGAAGUGAUUGCUCCCUGGCUAGCAGAGACAGAGGAAAGCGGAUUGUUGGCCCCAGGACCCAGCUCUGAGAGGCUGGGCUUGUUUCCCUGACUCUGCCUUGGAGGAAAGCAAUGGAAGGGGAAGGGGUAAGAAACUUCAAGGAACUUCGAGCCAAAUUUCAAAAUCUUGAUGCUCCACCUCUUCCAGGACCUAUUAAAUUCCCAGCAGGUGUUUCUCCAAAGGGUGACAUUGGAGGCACACAGUCAACUCAAAUUUUGGCCAAUGGGAAACCCCUCUCAUCCAACCACAAGCAGCGCACACCAUACUGUUCCAGUAGUGAGUCCCAGCCUCUUCAACCUCAGAAAAUAAAGUUGGCUCAGAAGAGUGAAAUUCCAAAAUGUUCUAACUCCCCAGGGCCUCUGGGAAAGUCUACUGUAUGUUCUGCAACAAGUUCACAGAAGGCUUCUCUGCUGUUAGAGGUGACUCAAUCAAAUGUUGAGAUAAUCACUAAGGAAAAAGUAAUGGUGGCCAAUAGCUUCAGAAACAAACUCUGGAACUGGGAGAAGGUUUCAUCUCAGAAAAGUGAAAUGUCUUCAGCCCUUCUCCUUGCCAACUAUGGAAGUAAGGCCAUCCAUCUGGAAGGGCAAAAAGGCAUGGGGCUUACUCCAGAGGAACCCAGGAAAAAGCUGGAAACAAAAGGAGCCCAGACUCUUCCUUCCCAGAAGCACGUGGUGGCCCCCAAAAUAUUACAUAACGUCUCUGAAGAUCCCUCUUUUGUAAUUUCUCAACAUAUCAGAAAAAGCUGGGAAAACCCACCUCCUGAGAGGAGCCCGGCAAGCAGCCCCUGCCAGCCCAUCUAUGAGUGUGAGCUUGCCAGUCAGGCCCCAGAAAAACAGCCAGAUGUCAGGCAUCACCACCUUCCCAAAACAAAGCCAUUGCCCUCCAUCGACUCCCUGGGUCCUCCUCCCCCAAAGCCUUCAAGACCUCCCAUCGUGAACCUCCAGGCCUUUCAGAGGCAGCCAGCUGCUGUUCCCAAGACUCAGGGGGAAGUGACUGUGGAAGAGGGCUCCCUGUCUCCAGAGAGGCUUUUCAAUGCAGAAUUUGAAGAACCACAUAAUUACGAGGCAACAAUUUCAUAUCUGAGACACUCUGGCAACUCCAUUAACCUGUGCACUGCAAAAGAAAUUGCUGAUCGGCACAGUGAGAAGACAGCUGUCUAUGAACCAGGAAUCUGUUGUCACUUUGAUCUUGGAACUUCCAGCCUCCAGAACUCAACUUAUGAAGUUGGAAUUGAAGAACUCCAAAAGCCUGGGAAGAAUUUUCCCUAUCCAGAACCUAGUGCUAAACAUGAAGAUAAAAAAAUGAAGGAAAAACAACCAUGUGAAUUGAAACCUAAAAACACAGAAAAGGAACCAUAUUCAAACCAUGUUUUCAAGGUAGAUGCCUGUGAAGGGACACCUGAAAAAAUUCAGAUGACCAACGUCCACACAGGUAGAAGGAACAUGUUGGCUGGAAAGCAAGAGGCCAUGAUUGACAUCAUCCAGACAAAUCCCUGCCCUGAGGGCCCAAAGCUGGCCAGGCACUCCCAAGGCCACUGUGGGCAUCUGGAGGUUUUGGAGUCAACUAAAGAAACUCCAGACCUAGGGGUCUCUAAGACAAGUUCCAUCUCGGAGGAGAUAUAUGAUGAUGUCGAGUACUCCAGGAAAGAGGUACCGAAGCUGAACUACUCUAGCUCACUUGCCUCAAGUAGUGAAGAAAAUAGAGAACUGUAUGAAGAUGUCUACAAAACAAAGAACAACUACCCAAAGAUAGAAUGGAAAAGAAGCACUCAAAAGACUGCAGCAAUUCUUCAAGAAAGAAAAGGAUAGAUUUAAAAUAAAGAAAACCAAGUCGAAAGAAAACUUAAGGUAAAAAGUCCCUUUAAAUCCCUUUCCACGAGGGGAUUAACCUGGUAGAUACACAAGUUGAUGUUCUCCAUCCAAUCUCAGAAACAGUGAAGGGGAUAUCAGAAACUAAAACCAAGGGUCUGGCCAUCAUCUGCCCCUUUCUUGUGAAUUUUUGAUUGAACUACAUGCACAGAGACUAAUUAAUGAGAAAGUGGCAUGCUCCUUUGAAAAAAUGGCAGAGAAAGGGUUGAAAAUAAGGGUAGAGGGAAAAUCUUAAGCGAAGUCCAGAAAGGAAACUUUCCUCAUCAGCCUUAACAUCCUAUUCCUGUUGUUACCACUAAGCAUUACUUACCAUGUCCUUUUAUGCUUUUGGGGCCCUACAAGCCCCAGUAGUUUUUAUUUGUCUACUGUUCCAUAUUUAAUUUAUCUCCCUUGAGAGCAGCAAUAUGUGGAAGGGGGAGAUGAGCUGCUCAGCUGAACAGUUCGUGUAUUGCAAGGUCUUAGACCUGGAAAAGAUCCUCUGAGAUAACCUAGGCUAACUGCCAGUUUUGAGAGAGGUUCCAAAUUCACUAGCACUAGAAAGAGAUGUGAGGGGACCUGGAUUCUAUAUUCUAGUACCAGUUCUGCCAUUUAUUCCAUGUACAACUGUGGGCAUAUCACUUCCUUUAUACACCCACAGCAUUCCACUUUUCUCCUGCAUAUAAUGGAAGGGGGACCCUGGAGACGCUUUGCAGGCAAUAGAUAGAUAUAGAUGUAGAUAUUCAGGUGCACCUCAAUUUAUGAUGGGGUUGUGUCUCAAUAAACUCAUUGCAACUCUAAAAUAUGUUAAGUUAAAAGUCCAUUUAAUACAUCUACCAAACAUCAUCGCUUAGCCUAGCUCAUCUUAAACAUGCUUGGAAUAUUUACAUCAGCCUACAGUUGGGCAAAAGCAUCUAACACAAAGCCUGUCUAUAAAAAGUGUUGACUAUCUCAUGUAAUUUAUUGAAUACUGUACUGAAAGUGGAAAAAGAAUGGUCUUAAGGAUACUUGAAGUAGGUUUCUACUGAAUGCGUAUUGCUUUCACACCACUGUAAAGCAGAAAAAUUGGGAGUCAAACCAUUGUAAGGCUGGGAACAUCUGUGUAGAUAUACAGACAUAGAGAUGUAUUUUGUGAGGGCAGAAGAUGCUAAAAUAAUUUGCCCAAGGUAAUUACCUAUAGUGAGAUGGAAUUAUGUUGUUCUACCCUGAAGUUCUUUUUGAUUAUAAAGCCUCAGAGUUUUGUGGCUUUAAGUUCAACUGUCAAUUGGAUCUAGAUCUACCAAGAGACCCUACAAAACAUGAGGUUUAUAAAUUGUAGUCCUGAUAUGGAAGAAGAGGGAGUGUGGUCAGCGAGACCCUAUGCACAAAGGCAGACCCUGGCCUUAGCAGAUUAGAUGUUUUCUGAGAGAAAAUUAUUGGCAUGAUAACCGGCAGUCCCAUAAUAUUUGAUCAAGAUGAGAAUGCUAAUGUUUUAAAUAUGCAAAUCUGAUUACCUUUCUCUCAAAACUAUUCAUUGGCUACAUACUACGUUUAGAAUAAAUAUCCAGUUCCUUACCCUGGCAAGUAAAUACUUCAUGGCUGUCCCCAUUCUACUUCUCUAGUUCUGUCUCUCACUAAAAUUACUCUCACUACCAUCCCAUCCACAUAGCUAUAGAUCUCAGACUCUGCCAUGGUGUCUCAUGCCUCCAUGCUUUGAACAUGACAUUCUCAUGGUCUGGAAUGUACCUGCCCUCCUCCAGCCUUCUUUUGUUCUCAAAGUUCUAGUUUUCCCUUAAAAUUCGAUCAAAUAUUGUCCCUUAUUGAAUGUCUCCCCUGAACUUCUCUUCCCAAACCUGGAUUACCCAUUUCCUUUGUGUUCCCAUAACAUCUUGUGCACAUCUUGUGACAUCUGUUAAUACCAGAGAAACUAUUUUUACUUGGAGUCAGAGAAUACCAGGGCAAGAAGGGCAAUCCAGCAUCAUCAAUAUGUUAUUGGAGAUCUGUCAGCUCAUCUUUCCAAACAUGGUUUUUUUCCUUAACUCUUUUGUGUCUUUUGUCAAUCAACAGUGCAUUUUCCAUUUUGCUGCCUGAUUUAGGUAAGUGCCAUUUGCUUAUUGCAGACCAAAAGUACUCAGCUUUUGUAUAUUCAGAGGCAGGGAAAGAGAAAUGGUAACCCUUCCUGCAUUCCCACAUUUGAUGAAAAAUUGCUCUACCAAAAUCAAAGAAGAUGUUUCACACGGAAGUAUUUUUUUACUUUGGAGAAGAUGAGUAGUGUUUCUCAAGUACCUACUACAUACCAUGCCCUGGGGCAGAUGUGUUCCUCUUAAAAUCCCAGAAAAAUAAAUGUUAUCAUCCCUUUUUAGAGAAGCUGUAGGACCAUAUUUAAGUGAUCCAGGAUUUGUAUUCCAGGCUCUCUGACUAUGAAACUCAUGCAUUUUGCAUUCUACCAUACUGCCUUUUGAAGGACUUGAUAUCCUUCAUCCUAAUUAAGACACUAACUGAAUAUGAUCACAUUGCCACCAGCAAACUAACUGAAUUGAGAAUGGAUCAUUGGAAUGUUGUUUGCUUUUCCAUUAAAAUAAUAGUGCAUAAAUUAGCACGGUGCUUGACACAUAGUAGGCUGUCAAUACACGUUCAGUACAUUGAAUUUGUCAAUAAAAGAGGGUCAUGUGUUCUGUUGUUUGUUAGUUUUUGUUUAGGGGUUCUAGCUAUGUGGCUACCUGGAUGUCACUCGAACUUGACAAUUCAAAAGUAUAUUAUAUUUCAUAAAUAUGAGUUUGCUGAACUAAAAGACAAAUGACAAUUAUAUAUACCUGAUAAAAUCCCACAUCUCAACAUAUCCUUGGUCUGUGUUUAAAAGAAAAAAGCUGACCUAGAAUAGGCAUGCAUUGUAUCCCCACCCACAUUUGAAGGUAUUUAAUAAAAUAAGGGAGUGAAUAAUUAUGAAUAAUUAUACUAGAAGGUCUCAAACUUGUUCAGUGGUGAAUCAAAUGAAAAUCAUGUAAUUCUAUGUAGAGUGCCAAGGAAUGUGAAUAUCCUAAAAUGAAAAUGCCUAAUUAUUAUUAUGCACUGAGUCAGAUUCAACAUUAUGCAAGAUUAUUGUAUAGGAGCAAUUGCCAAUGAUUUGAAAUAAAAACCAUGGAAGAAAAAUCAACAUUACUGUUCUAUUAAGCUGUUUCUCCCCCCUAGGAGUUAAGAAAAGACCUCUCACUAUUCUAGCAGUAUAGCAUAUUUGUUCAAUUCCAGAAAGAUGGGAACUUAGUCUAAAAAUGACUCUUUGAGCAACUCAUAUUUUUCUGGAACUCUAUGUAAAAGCAAAUUAAUAUAAAUAUAUAUGUUUUGAGAUACUGGGACAUCACACUUUUUUUUAAUCUUUCAGUUGAAUUUCUUCCCAAAUAGAGAAUAUUUUUAUUCUUUGAUUCUUCUAGCCUAUCUGUAUUUUAUGAUCAGAUUUUGCUAAAACAGACCUGAAGAUGCACCUGGAUAAUUAGGUAAUUGAGUAUAAUUUGGAAAGUCAGUGCUUAUAUAAACCAUGCUUAAUAAUGGACUAUUUUGAUUCUGUCUUGACCCUAGAACUUAAGUCUCAGGAAGUUAUUAUUUAUGAUGAUGUAGACCUGAGUGAAAAAGAGUCAAAGUAAGUAAUUUACCUUAUUGGUCAUCCCUGCUGAUAUUUGACCCAUUUCCUGAUGCUUUCUUAAUUAUGAUCACAGAACCAUCUUUUCAGAUCCUUGGAGAUUGAAUGAAAAGUCAACUUAAGAUAGUCUUCUCACUAAGAGGGGAAAACACUGAAUAACAUAUAUGAUCCAAAAGUGGUAGGUGACCACAAAAGGCAUUGGAGGUUUUGAGUUUGUUUCUGUUUUUUAUUUUUGAAUUCAGACUUGAAACUCAUUUCAACACAUUUUUUAAAUUAUCUCCAAUGUACAUGACAACAUGAAGGAUAGCAAGCACUAUGUGACAGAACGUCUGUAUUCAAGGACUAAAUAACUAUAAUUUAUCAAAAAAGAUGGCUGCAUGCAGUGGCUCAUGCCUGUAAUCCCAGCACUUUGAGAGGCAGAGAGAUGAAGAUAAACUGAAAAUGUGGAAGCCCAAG